UACGUAGGGUGCAAGCGUUGUCCGGAAUUAUUGGGCGUAAAGAGCUCGUAGGCGGUCUGUCGCGUCUGCUGUGAAAACUCAGGGCUUAACCCUGAGCUUGCAGUGGGUACGGGCAGACUAGAGUGCGGUAGGGGAGACUGGAAUUCCUGGUGUAGCGGUGAAAUGCGCAGAUAUCAGGAGGAACACCGGUGGCGAAGGCGGGUCUCUGGGCCGUAACUGACACUGAGGCGCGAAAGCGUGGGGAGCAAACAGG
rnacentral:rRNA from 1 species